GCUUCUCAUUUCUUCCAAGUCCUCAGCUGCCCUUUCCUCUCCCUCCUCCUCUCCUCCACCCUCUAGCCCGGGGAACUGGCCAGGGCAGCCUCCCCAAACUCCGCCGGCGCCAUCCCCUGCUCCUCCUGGGAAAGGGGUGCCAAAUAGGUCUGGCUCGCCCUUUCUUGCGGUGCUGGGAAGUUGCCCAACUCAGCUUGGAGGCCCAACCGCAGGCCCGGAAUACAGGGCCAAACGGUCUCCUGCCGGAAGGAAGGUAUUCUCUGAGCGGCCACCGCCCGCUUCCCCGGGCCCGCCGGCCCGCCGCAACCGCUGCGCCUCCAAAGCAGCCGAACCCUGAUACUUGCUCACCGCACUUAAUGCUACUAGAGAUCAAUACCUAAUAUGAUACCAAAUAAAUAAAAGGCGCUCACAGCGACCAGGGGACGGGGUUAUUAAGCAGCUGGAGCUCUCACGGUGCAUAUCAAUGCACCUGUCAUUGUGGUUUGUAGCAAAAUUUAUGACUGCGACCACGGCGGCAGUAAACGCUUCGGUAAGGAAUGAAAAGAAAAACACUUCCCAAGGCCCGGCACUUUUCAGCAGUGGAAAGCAGGCUCCGCGUAGGAGGCAGCGCAGCAAAAGAAUUCCCUACUCCGCACUUUUCCCGCUCUUGCACCCUGCGAGCAGCAGGAUUAUAUAAAGUGACCGGCGCCUGCUUCUGCUAGCAGCUCUGCUCGGCGGUCGGAGGCGGGACGAACGCGCGCAGCCUCGCUGGGGACCAAAAAUCUGCUGCCCGUGGUGGCCUCGGACGCCGGGAGGCUAGUCCGACUUGCGGAGGCCGGCUCGGCACUUGCUUGUACGCCGGUGGCAGUGGAAAAGCUGAGGGGGCUUGGGAAGGGAGGGGACACCAGGCGCCAGGCUGUGACUAGCGCUGCAAUCGUCGUAAAUCACCGACGGGUAGAGUCAGCCCAUCCAAGUUGAAAGAGAGGGGGAAGGCGAUGGAGGUUGCGGUCAGUUUCUCUCAAAAUCCGCUAGUGCUCGAGCUGGUCUCGGCGCCUCCCCCUGUUUUGCCUAAACCAGGGUCAGAAGCCCACGGAUCUCUUUCUGGCGGCCAAGACUUUUGCUGAGCAUCCCCACGAAUUCACUGGAACCGAGCAACGAUUCUCCCUUUCCUGUUGGCUUUGCUACUUCGGGAUUCGAAACCACUGGUUUUUGGGUUUGCUCGAAAGGAGACUUCUUUACGUUCCGCCCAAGUUCUCCCGAUCUCUAAGCUUGAGCCUCUUUUGCUCUAUAAGAAGACCUGGACGCGCCUUCUAAAUCACUCUUAUUUAGCCCAGAUAACUCAAUACUGUAAUGCACCCUGUAUUUAAGGCACUGGGCUUGCCCCAUUAAAGCGCCAUAAAUUUGAAGGCCAAUGAUCGGUUUUCAUGUAACGGGUGGUACUUCAUACUGAAGUGACCCACUUCAAAGCUGCCCUUUGUUCUAUGUCUUGAUGUAUGAAUUUUGAGAUGGCCACCUUGAGUUGCAGAGGGAAAUGUACUGGAAAUUAUUAUUUAAAUGAUGCCCACUCACCACAA
ensembl:lncRNA novel transcript, antisense to HOXD3